GUGACUAUGCGACGCCGCGUGCAGGAUGAAGGCCUUCGGGUUGUAAACUGCUGUCAGGGAGGAAGAAACCUAGCUAUUUAAAAGAUGGUUAGCUGACAUCACUCCCAAAGGAAGCCACGGCUAACUCUGUGCCAGCAGCCGCGGUAAGACAGAGGUGGCAAGCGUUGUUCGGAUUCAUUGGGUGUAAAGGGUCCGUAGGUGGCCUAGUAAGUCCGGCGUGAAAUCCCAGAGCUCAACUCUGGAACUGCGUUGGAAACUACUAGGCUUGAGUGCCGGAGAGGUAAGGGGAAUUCCAGGUGUAAGGGUGAAAUCUGUAGAUAUCUGGAGGAACACCAGUGGCGAAGGCGCCUUACUGGCCGGUUACUGACACUGAGGGACGAAAGCAAGGGGAGCAAACGGGAUUAGAUACCCCGGUAGUCCUAGCCGUAAACGAU
rnacentral:rRNA from 1 species